AAGUGUUCAGAUAUAGUCGCAACAGUUCGCGUGCCGCCAGCAGCGCAUGUGUCGUCAGACGCCACCGCUGUCGCUUAUUGAAGGCCCACACAAUACGUAUAGCCCGCGUAGACUCGCUCGGCAUUGUCUUUGUCGUCGUCGUCGUCGUCGUACUUGAGGACUCGACCGUUAUUUUUUCACCUUUUCGAAAAAUGAUCGUGUAAGUGUUGCUUAUAAAUUAUAAUAUUUUAUACCUAGUGUGCAAGCGGGCGCGAAAUGUUCGCAAAAGUGCAGUGAAACGACUGCGUCGCGUCCUCAAAUUACAAUAAUACUUACAUCGCGUCGACAAUUAUUUUCUAAUAUCACGUACGAUGUCGUCUACCGAUCGGGUGUUCGAGCGACGGAUCGUGUCCAAGCGAAGAACAUCCGCCAAUCUGGAGGACGAGCCGGAGAAGCAGUGUCCGAACGGUUGGGCCAGCGUCGUGGCGGCCGCCGCGGCAGCCGCGUCGUCUUCGUCGUCGACUUUACGGCAAAAAGCGGCCGCAUGCAAGAGCUCGCAGAGAACGACAUUUCAACCGCAUCCCGAUGCCAUCUGUGAUUGGUUCUUUAAAGUGAUGGUACUCGGCGAUUCCGGAGUUGGGAAGACUUGCCUGUUGGUCCGUUUCAGGGACGAUAUGUUCUUGGGUGGCAAUUAUAUUUCUACCGUUGGUGUAGACUUCAGGAAUAAAAUUAUAUCUGUCGACGACUCCAAAGUUAAGCUACAGAUUUGGGACACUGCGGGUCAAGAACGAUUUAGAAGCGUAACCCAUGCAUAUUAUAGAGAUGCUCAUGCACUUUUACUUUUGUACGAUGUAACUAAUAAAGUAAGUUUUGACAACAUACGAGCGUGGUUGAGCGAAAUUCGAGAUUAUGCAAAUGAUCAAGUAGUCAUAAUGUUAAUAGGAAAUAAAGCUGAUUGCAGUCUAAACGAUAGAAUGGUGAAAAGAGAAGACGGAGAACAAUUGGCCAAGGAAUAUUCAGUCACUUUUAUGGAGACUUCUGCUAAAUCUGGUUUUAAUGUCGAAAUCGCUUUUAUGGCUGUUGCAAGGGAGUUACUUUUCAAAAAAACAGGUAUAGAAAAAAAAGGAUCUUUUAAUGUACAAGAUUAUGUGAAAGAACAAACUAAAUCCAAUUGUCCGGCAUGCUCUACAUCAUAAUACAUUUUAUGGGGCCUUUGGUGUGGUGUGGCAGGCUGACACUGAUGAAUUCGACAUUUAAACAAAAUAUUGUGUCAAUAUAUGCUUUAAAUUAUAUGUCAGGCGCUGAUAGCAGGCAUCCAUGAUUGCAGACGUUUGGAAUAAUCUGGUUUUCGAUCGUACAGAGAACUCCUGACUCCAGAUUCGCGGCCACACAACAAUACUCAAAAACACAAGGCGAUGCACAUGCGUGAACUAGGACGAAAAUGCGGAUCGUGUUGAGCAUACUUCUUUUUCAUUAUAAUAUUAUACGGAGAAAUACCGGCCAACUGGCUGCAGGUGUAAACUAGUAAAGAUGGAGAAUUUAGAAUGUUCGCGAGGCGGCAACGGACGGCGCGCGCUCAGUCGAGCGCCCCAGAACAUUCUUGUGACGGCAUCCCGUAUUACUUGCCACGUGGCAUGACUGUUUCAGAAUAUUCGAGUGUUUACGGUGAAAUAUAGAGAAUAUUCUCGCGGUCACCACAUCACUCUCUUGGGAAGUGAGUUGCUACCCUUAAAAGUACUCGAUAAACAACAGAAAAACGAACACGACGAUAUAAACGAAUAGUAACUGGAUAUAGUAUGGUAUUGAAGUAUAUCGGCUUGCGGUGCGGUCGACGGACAUGGUCAUUUUCUUGCCUUCAACCAGAAUAAGAGGGCUAAAGUUAAGUUUGAACGUUUUUUGUGCAAUGGGAAAGUACUAUUCUGCGCUAUCAUGCCGUUAUUUUUGAGAUGCCCUGUAUAAUAUAGCAGAAGUCGUCGAUAAAAAAUAUUUAAAACUGAAAAUGUAUUUUAAACACUACUUUGAUUCUAUAUACAAACGUACAAAUAUUUAUAGUAAUUAAUAAUAUCUACACAGGUACUUCUUAAUUAUUACGAAUUUUCAAUGCAUUUCAAAGACAAAAUUUCAAUUGCGCGGCGUUGCAGAUAGGCCACUAUAUCCUCAGUCAAAUGGACUUAUUCGACAUUAGCUCGGCAGCUGCCAUUAUGUGCCACGAACAUUAUUUUUGGUCAGACGCACUUCUAUAAGUCCUCCUUGGUGUGUGCACUGCUUUGAAAGUGGGUCUCCAAUCUUCAGUCGUUCAACUGUAGUUCACCUAGUGUUGUAUACCUAUAUUUUUGAAAGGUACCAAAAAAUAUAAUAAUCCACAACUAUUAGAAUUACUCUUUUAUUAUUAGACACAAACACAAAAGUAAUAUUCAACACGGACAAACAAACAUCUAGUCUUACUCGACAACCAGCACUCCCCGCACACCGUAGUGCUACGUCCUCAAAUAUAAUUUUACAAACGGCUGCCUCACCUCAUUUGCUUCAUUGGCCUAUUAUUAUGAAUAUUAUACUGUUUAUAGUACACAUACAACAUUAGAGACACUGUGAGUUUUAAUUCCCAUGUAUGGUGAAUUUUUGUCUUCACUGCUAACCUCCCCUGAACCUUUAAACUUCAUAAGCAAUCUGCACACUUUGCUUUUCUUUCAUCGCAUUUCACAAAUAAGGUUCAAACUUAACUUUAGCUCCCUUACGCUGGGCUUUAUUUCGUUCAAGCUUGUAGUGAUAAGACUUAAAUAUUCUGGUUAAGGACAAGAAAAUGACUUGGUCCGUUGACAGUACCUCAAGCUGAAUACUCCAUUACUAAUUAAUAACCCUUUCCCUUCAACUGAACACUUUCAAACAAUCCAGCUAAAAAGAACUUUCUGGCAAGACGUUAAUAAUGCAUCUGACGCACGAAACAUAUGCGACGAGUCAGUCAUCAUACUACCUACAGUGUUGUUAACGAUGUCGAAGACCUAUGAAUUCCAUCGGCUAUCUCCCGAUAACCUUUUAGCUGCGUCGUGAAUUGAAUAACCAUUGCAAUCGAUGAUAAAAUUAGUUAAUCUUAAUACUUACCUAUUAUAGCUUUUUUUUUAUUUUAGAACUUUUAGCAAUAACUAUAACAGUUCAACAAUUAAUUAAUAAAACCUAUUAUAGCUUAUUACAUAUAAAUAAGCAACAUAUAAACAUCGGUUUUACCUAGAAACUUUUAUCGCAAAAUGACGUUUACAAAUGAUAUUUUGGACUACAGAAAUUCUAUUUAAUGUGAUUGAAUUGAUGCCAUUCAUUUUCAUUCUAUAAGCCAGUUGAUUCUAUAAAACAUCUUUAGAUUGUGAGCGGAGCGAUAAAUGUUUUGAUUUUACAAUGUAGUGUAUUUUGUUUCUGUCUGUAAACAUUUUUAUUGUCAAUGAUACUAUUAAUAAUAUUUUUGAAUUGAGUAUGUUUAUAAGUUAUACUUAUAACCCUUAAGUUAAGGUAGAUCUCCACUCCUCACACACUGUGGCGGUAGCAGUAAAAUGAGUCAAUUUACCGCCACCGCGGCAGCACCUCCAAGACAAGAAUUUUACCGCUAAAUCUCUUAAAACAAUGUUAAUAAAAUUAUAAAUUGACAUUUUGUAGUUUAAGAUUAUAAUACCUACAAUGAUAAUAGAAUAUAAUCAGAAUAUAAGAUAAGAAAAAUAAUAAUAAUAAAUUCUUAAAAGUAAAAUCACAUUAUCAAAACUACAGAUAUAUUUAUUUGAAAUUACAACGACGUAGAACAUGGGAGUGCUUAAAGUUAAGUACUCCCGUAGUUACGCCACAAGGUAAACUUACUUAAACCUACCUAUAUCAUACAUUUAAUGAUGAUAAGGCCAUUCUUGAUACAGAUUCAGAUCCUGUAGGUACUACUGUAGUACUGUACAAACAUCUCACAAACUCUUGGGAUAUGUUCCUAUGUAUAUAAGAUAUGUUAAACACUUGGUUCAAAAAUUAGAAAAUUGAAGUUUACCUCUCAAAAUAAAUCAAAAUUUAAUUUACUAGGCUCUGAUGGACGCCAUCCAAUCUUCAAUACGAAUUAAGAACACUCAAAUCCCAAUCUCCCCUCAAAGUUUCAGUUAACUAAAACAAUAUAUAGGUACCUAGGACUUAUUCUUGAGUGUCGACAAAUGACUCAUUUGCAGUCCUUAGCAAAGCGUCAGCAAUUAUUAACCAACGACUCCAACUACUUAUAGUUUACUCCGUUCUAGGGGCGUAAUUUAAUUUUUUUUUUUUGAUACGCAUAACAUAAAUAUUGAGCAGACUACUAUUUUUUUCAGAAUAUUUUACAUUAUUAAUGGCCAGGCAAUUUACACAAUUAGUAAGAGGUUAGAUGAAAUACCACUGAUUCAAGUUACCUACCAUUCAUGAAGAGCUCAAGGGAGGGGAAGUUUUAAUAGUAUCUGUUGCAUAAAAUUCAGCAUUUAUUAAUACAAUGUAUGCCACACGGACACGGCACACGUAAUAUAUGAGUAUAAAUUAGUAUACACUAUAUUACGACCGGUAGGGGACUGUUCAUAGGUCAUUAGUGAGUACUGAGAUCAUUUUAAUCUAUAUCAUUACGAUUCCUUUAAACAGUUAACAUAAACGACUAUAAAACACGUUUGUGUUGUUAUUUAUAUUAGUAAUCCACCAAUCCAUCCGUAAAAUUCUACUCUCUGUGGUCAAUAAGAACCAAAAUAUUACUUUAAAAUUUUAACUAAACGUUCUAUUUCUGUUUUAUUGCCUGUAUUUUUAUUUAUUUAUUCAAAACCAUCCUUGAAAGUAAGUUGACGGCUAAGUUUAUUUGAUUGUUUAUAGAUCUUAACUAUUGCAACACUGCCUUAAGAGGCGCUAUACCCGCAUGUGUUGUAUUCGUCUUACAAGAGCGUAACAUAUCAAAUUGUACGUACAGCAGAUCACGUUUAGCUCAGUUA